rnacentral:tRNA from 1 species
AUUCAAGUGACGUAAUUGGUAAACGUAUUAGUUUUAGGCACUAAGUUUUGAGGGUUCAAGUCCCUCCUUGAAUA